GGGGGGGGGGGGGGGGGGGGCGGGGGCGGGGGGGGGGGGGGGGGGGAGGGGGGGGGGUGCGGGGGUGAGGGGGGGGGGGGGGGGGAAUGGGGAGGGAUCUGGCUGGUAGUGGGGGAUAGCGUGCGGGAACGGGGGGUAAGAGCGCGUACGGCCUGGGGGAGGGAGUGGGGUGUCUUCGCGCCUCAAGCUAUCAGAUGAGGCUAGGUCGGAUUAGCUAGUUGGGGGGGGAAAGGCCUACCAAGGCGACGAUCCGUAACUGGUCUGAGAGGAUGAUCUGUCACACUGGAACUGAGACACGGUCCAGACUCCUACGGGAGGCAGCAGUGGGGAAUAUUGGACAAUGGGCGAAAGCCUGAUCCAGCCAUGCCGCGUGUGUGAAGAAGGUCUUCGGAUUGUAAAGCACUUUAAGUUGGGAGGAAGGGCAGUAAGUUAAUACCUUGCUGUUUUGACGUUACCAACAGAAUAAGCACCGGCUAACUUCGUG
rnacentral:rRNA from 1 species